rnacentral:lncRNA from 1 species
CGGGAGAGUGCGUCCGCGGCGCCAGCGGCUGCAGGGUGACCUGUUUCGGGCGGGGACACUCACCAGAAGAACACGCGUGAGCAGAGGCUAGUCAAAUGAAGCAGUGGGAGUGGAAAAGGAGCAAAGAAAUCUGUAACUGGUUGUGAUUCCAUGAACUUUUUGAAAUCCCCUUGUAUUGGCUUCCUUCCCUCUUCUGUCUUACUUCUCUACUCCCU